UUACGUCUAUAUCAGUUUGAAACACUGAUACUCGCCCGAUCACAGAAGUUAAGUAUCUUUGAGCCUGGUCAAUAACUAGAUGGGUUACCGCUUGGGAAUAGCAUGUGCU